AAUGUACUCCCUCCGCUGAAAAUACUUGUCAUUAAAAUGGAUAAAAAGGGACGUAUUUAGAACUAAAAUACGUUUAGAUACAUCUCCUUUUAUUCAUUUUGAUGAUAAGUAUUUCCGGACGAAGGGAGUAUUAA
rfam:Triticum aestivum genome assembly, contig: Triticum_aestivum_CS42_TGACv1_scaffold_132498_2BL